GGGAACUUGGAGUACAGAACAUGUCAUUCAAAAUGUAAACAACGUUGUGAUUUCUAUAACCAUAGAAUGAUCUACGAUACUCUUUAUUUCCCUUUUUCAAUUCAACAUAACUUUGUCCUUUGAUUAAAAAAAAACCUUGUCAAAAUUUAAUAUAUAUUUGUAUGUGUAAAUAUCAUGCUUGAAAAAUAAACAUAAUGAAGUUGGGUAUUCAAUUUGCGAAAAAAAACCAAUUGAACCAAUAUUUAGAUAUAUUAUACAUGUGUUUCAUUUACAUGUAUAGAAAAGUUGCAUCCUACCUUAGAUAUUUCCAAAAAUAUGAAAUAUUUACAUACCUUUGAAGAAUAUAUCUUCACAACAUAUACAUUGUAAUACUGCAAUAAAAAGAAACGUGAAAUUUAACUAAUUUUUUAUACUUUAUCAAAUGUAAUUAAAUCAUGUUAAUUAUUUUUGUUACUAGUAUAUUGUACAUAUGAAGAAUCUAUAAAUCUAACCCUUUUAAAUUAAUGUUUUACAACUUAGAAUUAAUCAUUGUAAUAUAGUUUGAUAGAUUAUUUAUAUCUGCAUACUUUUGUAAAUUAAAGAAUUUGGCACUGUAUGUCAUAGAGAAAAUAGAAAAUGAAAUAUUUUUUAAUCUUUAAAACAAAAAUAUCAAUUUUCUACUUAAUCAAACCAUCAGUCUUUCCUGCAUUACAUAUUUGACUAAUAUUUCUUUUUCAAUAAUUAUUUAUAUAACAUACUCUAAAAAUCCUAUAAGCUUGAUAUCGUUUUUAAAAAAGCACAUAGCUUAAAACCCAGUUACCUAUAUUUACUAAGUGUAAACCAUUUUAUAUUUAAUAAAGAUGAUUCAAAA
rnacentral:misc_RNA from 1 species